rnacentral:rRNA from 1 species
CAGUAGCCACGGUAAUACGAAGGGUGCAAGCGUUAAUCGGAAUUACUGGGCGUAAAGCGUGCGUAGGCGGUGAGUUAAGUCUGCUGUGAAAUCCCCGGGCUUAACCUGGGAACUGCGCUCGUGACUGCACAGCUAGAGUAUGGCAGAGGGGGGUGGAAUUCCACGUGUAGCAGUGAAAUGCGUAGAGAUGUGGAGGAACACCGAUGGCGAAGGCAGCCCCCUGGGCCAAUACUGACGCUCAUGCACGAAAGCGUGGGAGCAAACAGGAUUAGAUACCCCUGUAGUCCCUGUCUCUUAUACC